GAACGCUGGCGGCGUGCCUAAUACAUGCAAGUCGAGCGAACGGAUGAGAAGCUUGCUUCUCUGAUGUUAGCGGCGGACGGGUGAGUAACACGUGGAUAACCUACCUAUAAGACUGGGACAACUUCGGGAAACCGGAGCUAAUACCGGAUAAUAUUUUGAACCGCAUGGUUCAAAAGUGAAAGACGGUCUUGCUGUCACUUAUAGAUGGAUCCGCGCUGCAUUAGCUAGUUGGUAAGGUAACGGCUUACCAAGGCAACGAUGCAUAGCCGACCUGAGAGGGUGAUCGGCCACACUGGAACUGAGACACGGUCCAGACUCCUACGGGAGGCAGCAGUAGGGAAUCUUCCGCAAUGGGCGGAAGCCUGACGGAGCAACGCCGCGUGAGUGAUGAAGGUCUUCGGAUCGUAAAACUCUGUUAUUAGGGAAGAACAUAUGUGUAAGUAACUGUGCACAUCUUGACGGUACCUAAUCAGAAAGCCACGGCUAACUACGUGCCAGCAGCCGCGGUAAU
rnacentral:rRNA from 1 species